UCAAAUGAUCUGCCCGCUUUGGCCUUCCAAAGUUCUGGGAUUAUAGGAGUGAGCCACCAUGCCCAGCCUGUUCUUAAGUCUCCUAGAACAGGGAUUCUGAAACACAAAACUCAUCUGGUGAGAAGAAUGAGAGCAAGAGAGGUUAAAUGGGUCGUUCAAGUUCAUAAAGUACUGACAGAAGAUGACCCUGAACUGUUCUCACUAUAUUAAAAUUUACGCACUGAGAGCAUCUAAAGAAUUUGAAUGAGGAGCAAAGCUUUUUCAAAGGUUGGAUUAAACUACAAUUGUCCUCUCCAAAGAAUGUUCAGCUAUCCUUUAUGUACUCUGUUGCAAGUAUUUCAAGAAGGAGGUGAGAAUAUAUGAGGUUCACGUAGCAGCAAAGGAACUACAUGGUAGAAGAGGGCACCUUUUUUCCAACAUCUCUUUAUGCUAAUGUUGUACAUCUGCAAGAUGCAAGAAGAGGACAAGAGCCUAUUUUUGUAGCAUUCUUGAGUCAAGAGCUUCCAUGAAAAGCUUUAAGUAGCAACAAGCCUGCCAUUGAAAAAGAAAUAUUUGGUUUGGAAUUUGAGAUUGUUAAAAAUCAUUAUAGAAUGCAUGUUCUACUGUGAAAUAAACUGAUAAAUGAAUAGUAUGUUGGGGCAGCCCCUGAAAGGUCAUUUACACUACCUAGAUGCUUUAUAGUUAAGGAAAGUAGGUCCAGAGAGGGGAAAUGAUCUGACCAUGGUUUCAAAGUUAUUUAGUAAGAAAUAGAAUGAGGAGUAGUUCUCCUGACAUUUAGAUAAUAGGACCACCAUAGAAAGGUGGUUUUAUGAUUCCAUUAAGAUUUGGAUCAUUUUUUUCAAGGCUUUGAAAGUGAGUGGUAAAAUUUCUAUUUUCAUUAUCUCUGGAGCAGUAUACUAGAGUAUACCAGAUAUAUAAAAAAGCCUUUCAUCUAAAAGGUAAAUGAACAAAUUCCCCCCAAACCAAUGAAUAAUAUAUAAAAUGAAACUUCAGAAUACACCAUCAAAGUGGCAAGAAAAUAAGAAAUCUUAAGAGGAAUAAAAAACUUAAAAAGUUAAAGCAAGAAUCUAGGAAAUUAAGCUAGUAUAAUUUUAAGGCAAAAAUGAAAGAAAAUUAUAAAGGAUGGUAUACUAUUUAUUUAUGCUGAUCACUGAAUAGUCUCAACUCUCUGACUUCUUGGCCCAUAGUAAGAUUGUACUGCCUGGAUUCCCAUGUGACCAAUUCUGGCCAGUGUCUUGUGAGAGAAACUAAUGUGUCUCUCUGGCUUUGGGCUAAGCAUUUAAUUGUCAGUGAGAUCCUCCAGUGCUUGUUUUCUCUCUAGUAGGAUGAUUGACAAUAUUCCACAUAGCAUUUUCUUCCACAUUUUCUGGUAUAUCAUACCACGUGUGAUAU
rnacentral:lncRNA from 1 species